rnacentral:rRNA from 1 species
GCGAACGCUGGCGGCAGGCCUAACACAUGCAAGUCGAACGAACUCUUCGGAGUUAGUGGCGGACGGGUGAGUAACACGUGGGAACGUGCCCUUUGGUUCGGAAUAACUCAGGGAAACUUGUGCUAAUACCGAAUGUGCCCUUCGGGGGAAAGAUUUAUCGCCAUUAGAGCGGCCCGCGUCUGAUUAGCUAGUUGGUGAGGUAACGGCUCACCAAGGCGACGAUCAGUAGCUGGUCUGAGAGGAUGACCAGCCACACUGGGACUGAGACACGGCCCAGACUCCUACGGGAGGCAGCAGUGGGGAAUCUUGCGCAAUGGGCGAAAGCCUGACGCAGCCAUGCCGCGUGAAUGAUGAAGGUCUUAGGAUUGUAAAAUUCUUUCACCGGGGACGAUAAUGACGGUACCCGGAGAAGAAGCCCCGGCUAACUUCGUG